GACACUACAGGAACAAUAUAGUAGUGGUCAAACUUUGGGUUGAGGGUCUGAUAAUGGACGUAAGACAGCUGUUGGAGAGGAGAUUAAAAUAUGGAAGAUAGCAGCAGACGAGGUAGUUGAAGCUGGUAGAUCAAUUGAGCAAGAGCCCCAGAUCCAGCAAACAAUGUUGAGAAACAAGAGUAACAAUUACGUAGUAGUAGAUCAUACAAAGGACUGGUGACGAUUCAUCAGUCAUGGUCCAAGAAUGACAUGGAAAUUAAAACGAAGCACGACAUGUCCGCAUAAUAGCAGAAGCAGACCAAGAGAAGAAAAUUGAUUAGCAGCUCAACAACGACACCUGCUAAGAGAGGAUCAACACGUGCAUCCUUUUGCCAUUUCGGAAGCCCCACAUCCUCGAGCUUGACAGGCUCAUCUACCAUCCUGGCCGACGUCCUCGCCAUCUUCCCCGAGCCUCACAACAACCUCGUCAGCUGCCGCCGGAGCAGAGCACAUCGGCAGACCAAGAUGAGGAUAGCCCAUACCGCACCCAAGGUUUUUAGUAGAUGAAGGACAAAAGUCUGCGCACAGAAGACCAUUCUUGAUGGAUUCAAGAGAAUCAAGAGUGAAGCAUCAAGAUACGAUAAAUAUGUCGAUUACAAAUAUGCCUACCGAGACACGGGUUGUUUCAUAUAUCUUUGGUUCAUUUGGAUCUGCUCACAGAGAAAAAGGAUGACCAUAUAUAUAUGGUAGUUACUUCCAUGUCACAAAGGUGCUCUUUAGUAGGUACUGCAUAAUCAUGUUAAAGUUUCACAACAUUCACAUUCUCAGUGUUGUUCUCAUAUCCUGUAUCUCCAGUGUUUGAUCAUAAUUUAGAUAAUUGAUCUGAUGUUGCUCAUCUUUCAGUAUCAUGUCUUCUUUUUCGAGAUUUACAUCUCCCAUUCUACAGGAUGUGCUAUGCUUUAGCAUGUUGAUCUCUUUUUAAUUUUCAUGUAGCUAUAUACUUUUAUCCUAGCUUAAGGACCUUGGCGAUUCAAAAGUUGUAGGACAUGAUACAUAUUGUCAGCGUUAGUAGCGAACUGUGAGGGUUAGCCCCCUGCCGAGUAUUGCAUAUUUAGUAGUACGUGCAAGUCUGCUAGGGGCCCUGAGUUAUGCUUUUCUGUGAUGAUUAGCCCCCUGCCGAGUAUUCCAUAU